rnacentral:lncRNA from 10 species
GCAGGAUGGGCCCCAGAGAGGUGUAAAGAAAGCUGAGUUCCAUUUCUUAUUCCAGUGAUAUGUUUCUACUCAACAGAAUUGUCUUGAGCAGAAGAUCCUGGGAACAUGGUGGCCACCUAGGGAUUUAGGGAAGCCACUCUAGCACUCUGGCAUUGAUUGUCCUGGCAGGAGACAGAUGACAUCAGUUACUGGAGUUCCCGGUUACAAUGGAGAUACGGCCAAGAUGUUUCUCCGUCACACACUCCACUACUUAGCUGCCCUCCCUGACAGUCAUUUCCCCCUUCUUCCUAACUCCCACUGCCACCGAGGAAGUCUUUUGUCCACUGUGCUGUGUUAGUGGGGAGACAGGGUUUGGAGAAGC